rnacentral:rRNA from 1 species
UAAUACGUAGGGGGCCAGCGUUGUCCGGAUUCAUUGGGCGUAAAGCGCGUGUAGGCGGCCAGGUAGGUCCGAUGUGAAAUCUGGAGGCUCAACCUCCAGCGGUCAUUGGAAACCAUCUGGCUAGAGUCCGGAAGAGGAGAGUGGAAUUCCUGGUGUAGCGGUGAAAUGCGCAGAUAUCAGGAAGAACACCAAUGGCGAAGGCAGCUCUCUGGGACGGUACUGACGCU